rnacentral:rRNA from 1 species
AUGCUCACUAGCACUACCACUUUGAAGGUGAUCAUGUGCCUGCUCAUCCUGAGCCUCACCGUAAACUCGACCACCGCAGACUGCGGCUGCUGCAUAAGCUUAGCCGCAAAAGGAUGUUGUUCUACUUGUAUUUUUGCGGGUGGCUCUGACUUUGCCUGCAAGAACACUUGUUGUUUCCCCUGUAUUCUUGAAGAUUCUGUGGUUGCUAAGAUGGAUGAAAUGGGAGUGGCUUCGAAGAUGGAAGGACUGUACUAA